rnacentral:rRNA from 1 species
UACAGAGGGGGCAAGCGUUGUUCGGAAUUACUGGGCGUAAAGGGCGCGUAGGUGGCCUUCUAAGUCAUGCGUGAAAUCCCCGGGCUCAACCCGGGAACUGCGUCUGAUACUGGAAGGCUUGAAUCCGGGAGAGGGAUGCGGAAUUCCAGGUGUAGCGGUGAAAUGCGUAGAUAUCUGGAGGAACACCGGUGGCGAAGGCGGCAUCCUGGAUCCUUUCUGACGCUGAGGCGCGAAAGCCAGGGGAGCAAACGGG